GACGUAGGGCGCGAGCGUUGUCCGGAAUUAUUGGGCGUAAAGAGCUCGUAGGCGGUGUGUCGCGUCGGCCGUGAAAAACCUGCAGCUUAACUGUGGGCGUGCGGGCGAUACGGGGCAGACUGGAGUACUGCAGGGGGAGACUGGAAUUCCUGGUGUAGCGGUGGAAAUGCGCAGAUAUCAGGAGGAACACCGGUGGCGAAAGGCGGGGUCUCUGGGGCAGUAACUGACGCUGAGGAGCGAAAAGCGUGGGGGGAGCGAAACAGGAUUAGAAA
rnacentral:rRNA from 1 species